rnacentral:rRNA from 1 species
UGGAGUCUGCAACUCGACUCCAUGAAGCUGGAUUCGCUAGUAAUCGCGCAUCAGCCAUGGCGCGGUGAAUACGUUCCCGGGCCUUGUACACACCGCCCGUCAAGCCAUGGGAGUCGGGAGUGCCUGAAGUUCGUGACCGUAUAGGAGCGACCUAGGGCAAGACUGAUGACUGGGGCUAAGUCGUAACAAGGUAGC